AUACGAAAGGUGCAAGCGUUGUUCGGAUUUACUGGGCGUAAAGAGAGUGUAGGUUGUUUAUUAAGUCGGAUGUGAAAUCCCGGGGCUCAACCUCGGAACUGCAUUCGAUACUGGUAGACUAGAGUUCGGGAGGGGUAAGCGGAAUUCCGUGUGUAGCAGUGAAAUGCGUAGAUAUACGGAGGAACACCUAAGGCGAAGGCGGCUUACUGGACCGAUACUGACACUGAGACUCGAAAGCGUGGGUAGCAAACAGGAUUAGAUACCCUUGUAGUCC
rnacentral:rRNA from 1 species